rnacentral:rRNA from 1 species
GACGAACGCUGGCGGCGUGCCUAAUACAUGCAAGUCGAACGCAGUUGCGAACGGGUGAGUAACGCGUAGGUAAAUGCCUCAUAGCGGGGGGUAACUAUUGGAAACGAUAGCUAAUACCGCAUUCUGUGAGAUGGACCUGCUUUGUAUUAGCUAGUUGGUGGGGUAAAGGCUCACCAAGGCGACGAUCCAUAGCCGACCUGAGAGGGUGAUCGGCCACACUGGGACUGAGACACGGCCCAGACUCCUACGGGAGGCAGCAGUAGGGAAUAUUGCACAAUGGGCGCAAGCCUGAUGCAGCCAUGCCGCGUGUAUGAAGAAGGCCUUCGGGUUGUAAAGUACUUUCAGCGGGGAGGCGUUACCCGCAGAAGAAGCACCGGCUAACUCCGUGCCAGCCGCCGCGGUAAUUC